UUUUAAGGAACCGGGCCUGGAAAGCUGGUACGCGAUUAUCAUUGAAUGCCGCAAAACGAAAUUUGGCUGUAUAUUGGGAUGUCUGUUCAACAAAAUGGGAGUUUUAUCAGCCACAGGGCGGUACGACGAGAGUAGAGUGAUAGACUGGAUGAAGUUCCCUGUGGACAUAGGAUUGCUCACCGAAAAACAAGCAAGACAGAUCGCUGAAGAAUGCUACCGUGUGAACGGGGCUGCGAACGAUAAAUUAUGCGCCAGAGGCCAAAUACUGUGGGAAUGCCUAAAUCACGAAUUAGAUAGGAUUACCGGAAAACGGCUUUUUUUAUAAUUUGAAGAGAAGUGUGUCUCACACUCACCGAAGUGAAGUGAAGUUGAAGUGUGUCUCAAUUAAUUGUAAUCAUAAUUGUAACGUAAUUCACUCUGUAACUGUGUUUCUCGUGUUUUUAUUUCUAUGUCCAAUAAACUAUAUACAUACCGCUAAACGGUAUUU